rnacentral:rRNA from 1 species
GACAGAGGGUGCAAACGUUGUUCGGAAUUACUGGGCGUAAAGCGUGUGUAGGCUGCUACAUAAGUCGGAUGUGAAAGCCCCGGGCUCAACCCGGGAAGUGCACUCGAUACUGCGUAGCUUGAGUCUCGGAGAGGUUGGUGGAAUUCUCGGUGUAGAGGUGAAAUUCGUAGAUAUCGAGAGGAACACCAAUGGCGAAGGCAGCUCGCUGGGACGUGACUGACGCUGAGACGCGAAAGCGUGGGGAGCAAACAGG